rnacentral:rRNA from 1 species
GAUGAACGCUGGCGGCGUGCCUAAUACAUGCAAGUCGAGCGAACGGACGAGGAGCUUGCUUCUCUGAUGUUAGCGGCGGACGGGUGAGUAACACGUGUAUAACCUACCUAUAAGACUGAGAUAACUUCGGGAAAGCGGAUCUAAUACCGGAUAAUAUUUUGAACCGCAUGGUUCAAAAGUGAAAGACGGUCUUGCUGUCACUUAUAGAUGGAUCCGCGCUGAGUUAGCUAGUUGGUAGGUUAACGGCUUACCAAGGCAACGAUGCAUAGCCGACCGGAGAGGGGAUUAGUCAACGCUGGACCGGAGACGCGGCCCGGACCCUAACGGAAGGCACAGGUAGGGAAUUUACGCAACUGGGGGAAAGCUUGACGGAGCAACGCCGGGUGGGUGAGGAAGGUCUCCGGUUGGUAAAACUCUGUUAUUGGGGAAAAACACAUGUGUAUGUAACUGUGCAGAUCUGACGGUAACCUAAAAAGAAAGCCCGGCUAACUUCGUG